rnacentral:SRP_RNA from 1 species
GCCGGGCGUGGUGGCUCAUGCCUGUAAUCCCAGUGCUUUGGGAGGCUGAGGUGGGCGGAUUACCUGAGGUCAGGAGUUCGAGACCAGCCUGACCAACAUGGAGAAACCCCAUCUCUA